CUGUUGUAGAAUUACACAAUUAGCUCAGUGUCUGAGCAACUCCUCUGAGUCAUUUGCAUUGGCAACCCGAAGCGGGGAUAUAAGCAGGUAAAUAACUAUAUUGGCUUCCCUGAAAUUUGAGAGCCUUAGGACAUUUGGGCAGCUGUGGCAAAUCCCGUUUUGGCACAGAUCUCCAUGAGUCACCAUCUUUGCAGUGCUGGGAGAAAGGAGGACAGCCAGAAGAAAUCAGAAAAGUGCAACUUGGAGCUAAAUGAACAUCACGGAAACUGGAGAGAAACAAAGGGAGC